rnacentral:ncRNA from 1 species
CAGAUGCAGCGGCAAACCAUUGGAAACGAUGGGACGCAAAGCUACGGAACUAAGGCGCAUGGUGAACGCCCAUGGGCGUUCAUUCAUGGGGAGAAGCCUCCCCAUGAAUGCGCUAUGUCCGCCGGGCUGCGAGC